GGGUCAGUAGGUUGGUCGUGCCACUGGUAUGUACUGGUCUCACUGAUUCCUCCUUCCUGAUGAACCGUAAUGCCAUUAAUUUGGUGUUGCGGGGAAACUGGACUGUUACUUUGAAAAAAUUAGAGUGUUUAAAGCAGGCUAACGCUUGAAUACAUUAGCAUGGAAUAAUGAAAUAGGACGUUCGAUCCUAUUUUGUUGGUUUCUAGGAUUGACGUA
rnacentral:rRNA from 1 species